GGCGUAGGAAAUUUGAGAAGACCUGUCCUUAGUACGAGAGGACCGGGAUGGACGUACCUCUGGUGUACCAGUUGUCCUGCCAAGGGCAUGGCUGGGUAGCUAUGUACGGAAUGGAUAAGCGCUGAAAGCAUCUAAGCGCGAAGCCAACUUCAAGAUAAGAUUUCCCACCGCAAGGGUAAGACCCCAGAAAGACUAUCUGGUUGAUAGGUCGAAGGUGUAAGUGCAGCAA
rnacentral:rRNA from 1 species